rnacentral:tRNA from 1 species
UCGUAGCUCAGUUGGUAGAGCAUCGGACUGAAAAUCCGUGUGUCGUUGGUUCAAGUCCAAUCGA